GGAUUCCCCUAGUAACUGCGAGUGAAGCGGGAAAAGCUCAAAUUUAAAAUCUGGCGGUCUUUGGCCGUCCGAGUUGUAGUCUGGAGAAGUGCUUUCCGCGCUGGACCGUGUACAAGUCUCUUGGAACAGAGCGUCAUAGAGGGUGAGAAUCCCGUCUUUGACAUGGACUACCAGUGCUUUGUGAUGCGCUCUCAAAGAGUCGAGUUGUUUGGGAAUGCAGCUCAAAAUGGGUGGUGAAUUCCAUCUAAAGCUAAAUAUUGGCGAGAGACCGAUAGCGAACAAGUACCGUGAGGGAAAGAUGAAAAGCACUUUGGAAAGAGAGUUAAACAGUACGUGAAAUUGCUGAAAGGGAAACGCUUGAAGUCAGUCGCGUUGUCCGGAACUCAGCCUUGCUUCGGCUUGGUGCAUUUUCCGGGCGACGGGCCAGCAUCGAUUUUGACCGUCGGAAAAGGGCUGAGGGAAUGUGGCACCUUCGGGUGUGUUAUAGCCUUCAGUCGCAUACGGCGGUUGGGAUCGAGGAACGCAACACGCCUUAUGGCUGGGGUUCGCCCACAUUCGUGCUUAAGAUGCUGGCAUAAUGGCUUUAAACGACCCGUCUUGAAACACGGACCAAGGA
rnacentral:rRNA from 1 species